GGGCAGUCCAAAAUUCUCUCUCUCGUCGGAGUUGGAUCAUCAUCACCAUCUUCUUUCUUUGUUCUUCAAAAACCCUAUUUGGGGUGAAAAACAGAUGGCGCCAUUGUUGCAGAGCUCUCAACCAUGGGUGUAGAUAUACGGCCGAAGCCAGUGAAAGAUGUGGCGCAUCAGGAUGAAGUGGAUCGGGUCCUCACCAACACCUUCGGGAGUCGAGACUGCUAGUUGUCCUCCCUUGCUCUUCAAUGACCGCCUGGUUUCGCUUCCGCUCUCGUGAUUGUCUAUCAACAAUUCGGGAAGAUGUGAAGUUAUGUUUGGUAGUUCAGAAUUCUCUCUAAGGAAUUUCUUGGAUUCUCUCCGUUGAGGGGUUCUAUUGAUUUUGAGGAGGUUAUGAGUUUUUGAUAGAAUUUUAUUUUAUCUGUAUUUAUUCUCGGGGUGAGGGAGAAAUUAGAAACAGGGAAAUAUAAAUGAAUCACGGCCUCCAGUUAUCAAGAUUUUGGGAGGUUUCUGCUCAAGGCAUUCGUGAUGGACUAUUAAACAUGAAAUGGACUAUUUGAAUGCCUUUUAAGUUUUUAUAAGAUACACACCUUUUAAGUUUUUAUAAGAUGCACAAAAUAUAUAAUAUAAGAAAUAUUAUUUGUAUUCCUGAACUUAACAAGUCCAGAGUUUUGGAGAAGAAUGCAAGUGAUGACAGUAGGAUCAACGUUGUUUGGAGUAAGACUAAAGAUUUUGCUGGUGUUGCAGUAAGCAAUGGUCAACGCCAAGGGCAAUUUUCUUAGUUUUAGCCAUGUCUAUUUCAUAACAUUCCUUUUAUGAUGCUCAGAUGUGAUCAUUUUUCUUUUCCUAAUCUUUAACAUUAUGUAAUAUAUUACUUUUCUUUUUCUGUUAUGAUGCUGAUAUAUAAUAUAUUACUUUUAUAGUUACUACAAAUUAAACAUUUUUCUUUUCCUAAUCUUUAACAUUAUGUAGAAUGCCCCGAGGCAUAUGAUGGAAACUGAUAGAACCUGAAUAUACUGUAAUGUAAACUAUAAUCAAAAUACAAGAUAAACCAAGUAAUUCGAGAUACUUGAACCCUCCCAAUAUUGAGAUAAGGCUCAAGCCUUAAUUCACUCACUACAAUAUUGCCUAUCCCCUUCAUUCCCCUCUCUAUUUAUAACCAACUUCCCUAAUAAACUACUUAACUAAUUACAAAUAUGCCCUUAAUACCCCAAUAUCCCCUAAUACCGUUCCUAUCAGAAACACACUCCAAAGUGACCCGGUUCUUUCUUAUAUGCAACUGUAUCAGUAGGUGAAGCUUAGCUUCAUUUUAUAGAGUUUAGUUUCUCUCUAUAUUAUUUUAGAUUAUUCUUUCCAAACUUUUGUUUUUGAUGUUCGCAGUCUCCAAUUUACUGUUUGUAGAUUUAUGCUUUUGAUAUUUAUGGUAGUCUACAACCUUUUGUUGAGCAAAUUAAG